rnacentral:rRNA from 1 species
GCGGUUAAACAAAUUAUAUAAUUUAAUUUUUUUAGUUGUAAUAAAUUUAUUUUUAAUUUAGGUUUGAAAAUUUAUUAAGUGAAAUUUUAAAUUUUUAAAAUAAAUUUUAUAAAAUAAUGAUUUAAGAAAUUUUAUUUAUAAACUAGGAUUAGAUACCCUAUUAUUUAAAAAUGUAGUUUUUGUACUAAAUUAUUAAUAGUUAUGUUCUUUAAAAUUAAAAAAUUUGGCGGUAUUUUAGUCUUUUCAGAGGAACCUGUUUUAUAAAUGAUAGUCCACGAUUUAAUUUACUUUUAUUAUAAAUUUAUAUAUCAUCGUUAUUAAAUAUUUUUUUAGAAUAUAAUAUUUAAGAUUUUUAAUUAAAAAUUAAAUCAGAUCAAGGUGUAGUUUAUAUAAAAGUAUAAAUGGGUUACAUUAAGUUUACUUUUAAGAUAAUUAUUUUUAUAGUAUUUUGAAUUUGGAUUUGAUAGUAAUUUUUAUUAAUUAAUAAAAAUGAUUUAGCUCUAAAAUAUGU